CACAGGUUUGGUCCUGGCCUUUCUAUUAAUUAUUAACAGACUUACACAUGCAAGUAUCAGCCUUCCAGUGAGGAUGCCCUCUAGGUCAAUAUUAUGAAAUAAAGGAGCAAGUAUCAGGCACGCCUACCGCAGCCCAUAACACUUUGCUCAGCCACACCCCCACGGGAAACAGCAGUGAUAAAAAUUAAGCCAUGAACGAAAGUUCGACUAAGUUAUGCUAAUAUAGGGUUGGUAAAUUUCGUGCCAGCCACCGCGGUCAUACGAUUAACCCAAAUUAAUAGCUAUCGGCGUAAGGCGUGUUUAAGGUAGUAACCCAAAAUAAAGUUAAACUUUGACUAAGCUGUAAAAAGCCUGAGUCUUUGUAAAAUAAACUACGAAAGUGACUUUAAUAGCCUGAACACACGGCAGCUAAGAUCCAAACUGGGAUUAGAUACCCCACUAUGCUUAGCCUCAAACCUAAGAAGUUAAACUAACAAAACUGCUCGCCAGAGUACUACUAGCCACAGCUUAAAACUCAAAGGACUUGGCGGUGCUUUAUAUCCAUCUAGAGGAGCCUGUUCUGUAAUCGAUACACCCCGAUAAACCUCACCAACCCUUGCCAAAUCAGUCUAUAUACCGCCAUCUUCAGCAAACCCUAAAAAGGACUAUAAGUAAGCACAAUUAUCAUGCAUAAAAACGUUAGGUCAAGGUGUAACUUAUGGGUUGGGAAGAAAUGGGCUACAUUCCCUAUUAAAAGGUCAUGAUCAACACAAACGAAUGCUAUAAUGAAACUUAUAGCUGAAGGUGGAUUUAGUAGUAAAUUAAGAACAGAGCGCUUAAUUGAAUAUAGGCCAUGAAGCACGCACACACCGCCCGUCACCCUCCUCAAACAUAAACUAAUCUAAAUAACUCUAUUUAAAAGAUUUAACUUGUAAGAGGAGAUAAGUCGUAACAAGGUAAGUGUACUGGAAAGUGCACUUGGAUAAUU
rnacentral:ncRNA from 1 species